rnacentral:lncRNA from 1 species
UGAGUUGAGAUGGAUCUUGUACAAAGAUAGGGCAAGAGCUUUAGAGAUUGCCUAUCAAGAGUGAUGAGGAGUCUAAAGGUGUCCAGAAGUGAUCUGAUGGAUGUUCUAAGCAAGGUCAAAGUCUAGGAGAGACUUAGAAGAGUGUUGAGGAGCAAAUGGGCGAGUGUGCAAAGAUAGGGCGAGGCUGUACGGCCAUGUACGGAUAUGUACGGACCGGUACGACCUGAGAGAUCACAACUCGUCCAUUUGAGAUGUUUUGAGAUUGUGCAAAGUCCGGGACAAGAUGUGCAAGCUUAGGGCGUGAUCAGAACAUGUCAAGGAGGCUUUGUGCAAUCUUAGGGUGUUGGGAGAAGGCCCUGGUCGUUUGGAAUCAAGAAGGCAUCAAGAAGAUGCUUUGUGGAGGCAAACAACCAAUGGGAGCUUCCUUGUGUGUGAUUGGCUAGUUCUGGUCUUGGACAGGCUGUCUCUUGCUGUAAAGAGAAGGGAGCCACGACCAUGAACCUGGACAGAUGCAUGGGAAGAUUAGGAGGAGCCUAAGGAGAGCCAAUCACAAGCAAGGAGCCAGCUUGCCUUGGUUUGAAUUAAAGUGAACAGCCAACCUUAUCCUCACAACUCUUCAGAUAUUACAAGAAGACCAUCUCAUCUACACCAUCCAUUCACUCAAGUUAAUAUUAUCCAUUAGAUUUAGGUUUCAGAUUGUGUAAACCUAUUGAGCUUAUAAAUAAGCAUGUAAAUGGCGAUUUGGAGCCUUAAGGGAGUAAGGGGGAUUUCCCCUCUCCACUUCUUGGAAAUAAGAAAAUGUGUUCUUGAAUCAGAUUCCCUUAAUCUACCCCUUUCUUAGUCUCUAAUCUUCUAAUCUCUCAAAGUCUCUUGUUUCUGAUUUAAGUAAACACUCUCAUCAAUCUCUCUUUCUAAAUCACCUAGAGCAAGCUCUCAUCUUUCUCCAUUGGAGUUUAUACACACACAAACACAACUAGAGAAGAGAACUCUACAAAUCUCACAUGGUAUCAGAGCCAGGUUCAUCAGAACCUGAGCUGUAGCUUCCGCAAAUCACUUGCUCUCACCUCAGCUCAAAUCCA